rfam:Microgenomates (Curtissbacteria) bacterium GW2011_GWC2_38_9 TT12_C0011, whole genome shotgun sequence.
GGUCCGGUGGUGAAAUAGGUAUACACGCAGCACUUAAAAUGCUGUCCGCGAGAGCGGGUGUGGGUUCGAGUCCCACCCGGACCA